UCCCGUUAAAGCCGAAACUCAUCUCGCUCCUCUCCCCUUCCCUCUCUGCCCUCGCUCCGAUCCAUUUGCUUCCUUGUCUCACCGGAUCUCGGCUCCCUCCCCGAUCUCUGCUCCGUUAAUCCUUCCUCUUCUGGGAUCCAGACGCAUCGAUCUACAGACUUCUCCGACUUCACGCAUCUCGUGCUCUCAUUUAUUCUGAAAAGAUGCCUCUCAGAUUAGAAAUCAAGCGAAAACUUGCUCAAAGGUCAGAAAGGGUCAAAUCUGUGGAUCUUCAUCCAACUGAGCCAUGGAUUCUUGCGAGUCUUUAUUCUGGAACAGUUGGCAUCUGGAACUAUCAGUCACAGACAAUGGUAAAGUCCUUUGAAGUAACUGAAUUACCAGUGAGAUCUGCAAAGUUUGUUGCCCGAAAGCAGUGGGUGGUGGCUGGUGCAGAUGAUAUGUUCAUCCGUGUCUACAAUUAUAACACAAUGGAUAAAGUCAAAAUAUUUGAGGCUCAUACAGACUAUAUUAGGUGCGUGGCUGUACAUCCAACACUGCCAUACGUGUUGUCAUCAUCAGAUGACAUGCUGAUAAAGCUUUGGGACUGGGAGAAGGGUUGGAUGUGUACCCAAAUUUUUGAAGGACACUCUCAUUAUGUGAUGCAAGUGACUUUUAAUCCAAAGGACACCAAUACUUUUGCAAGUGCCUCUUUGGACCGUACAGUAAAGAUCUGGAAUCUUGGUUCUCCUGACCCAAAUUUUACAUUAGAUGCUCAUUCCAAAGGAGUAAACUGCGUUGAUUAUUUUACUGGAGGUGAUAGGCCAUAUUUGAUUACUGGUUCUGAUGACCAGACUGCUAAGGUUUGGGACUACCAAACCAAGAGUUGUGUACAAACACUGGAAGGCCAUACCCAUAAUGUCUCUGCUGUAUGUUUCCAUCCUGAGCUUCCAAUAAUAAUAACAGGUUCAGAGGAUGGAACUGUUAGAAUUUGGCAUGCAACUACAUAUAGACUGGAGAAUACACUAAACUAUGGUCUGGAACGAGUUUGGGCUAUUGGAUACAUGAAAGGAUCAAGGAGAGUUGUAAUAGGAUAUGAUGAAGGAACCAUUAUGGUGAAGAUUGGCCGUGAAGUUCCAGUUGCUAGCAUGGAAGGCAGUGGAAAAAUCAUUUGGGCAAAGCACAAUGAGAUUCAAACAGUUAAUAUCAAGACAAUUGGAGCAGAAUUUGAGGUCACAGAUGGUGAAAGAUUGCCUUUAGCUGUCAAGGAAUUAGGAAGUUGUGAUCUCUACCCACAAAGCUUGAAGCAUAACCCAAAUGGAAGAUUUGUUGUUGUCUGUGGAGAUGGAGAGUACAUUAUAUAUACUGCACUGGCAUGGAGAAAUAGAUCAUUUGGGUCUGCUUUGGAGUUUGUCUGGUCUUCUGAUGGAGAGUAUGCAAUCAGGGAAAGUACAUCAAGGAUUAAGAUCUUUGGUAAAACCUUCCAGGAGAGAAAAAGUAUCCGGCCAGCCUUUUCUGCUGAACAUAUUUAUGGAGGAAUACUAUUAGCAAUGUGCUCCAAUGACUUCAUUUGCUUUUAUGAUUGGGCUGAAUGUAGAUUAAUACGUCGGAUUGAUGUUAGUGUUAAGAACCUGUAUUGGGCUGAUAGUGGUGACCUUCUAGUCAUAGCAAGUGAUACAUCAUUCUACAUAUUGAAGUACAAUAGAGAUGUCGUUUCCUCUUACCUAGAAAAUGGUAAGCCAGUAGAUGAUGACGGAGUAGAAGAGGCAUUUGAGCUGCUGCAUGAAGUAAAUGAGCGUGUUCGAACUGGUAUAUGGGUUGGUGAUUGUUUCAUUUAUAACAAUUCUUCUUGGCGACUUAAUUAUUGCGUUGGUGGAGAGGUCACCACCAUGUUUCAUUUGGACCGUCCUAUGUACUUGUUGGGAUAUCUUGCUAGUCAAAGUCGUGUGUAUCUAAUUGACAAGGAGUUCAAUGUUAUAGGCUAUACCUUACUCCUCAGUUUGAUUGAAUAUAAAACUCUUGUUACGCGUGGGGAUCUAGAACGUGCAAAAGGAAUUUUACCAUCAAUUCCAAAGGAACAUCAUAAUAGUGUGGCUCAUUUUUUGGAAUCUCGGGGAAUGAUAGAGGAUGCUCUUGAAGUAGCAACUGAUCCUAAUUACAGAUUUGAUUUAUCUGUUCAACUUGGUCAAUUGGAAAUAGCAAAGGAAAUUGCUACAGAAGUACAAAGUGAAUCUAAGUGGAAACAGUUGGGAGAGCUGGCUUUGUCUACUGGGAAGUUAGAGAUGGCUGAGGAAUGUCUAUCACAAGCUAUGGAUUUGAGUGGAUUGUUGCUUCUUUACUCAUCCCUUGGUGAUGCUGAAGGGAUAAUAAAACUCGCGUCUCUUGCAAAAGAACACGGAAAGAAUAACAUUGCAUUUCUUUGUCUAUUCAUGCUAGGUAAACUGGAAGAUUGCCUUCAGUUAUUGGUGGACAGUCAUCGCAUUCCAGAAGCUGCACUGAUGGCAAGGUCAUAUCUUCCAAGCAAAGUAUCAGAAAUUGUAUCAUUUUGGAAAAAAGAUCUUAGUAAGGUGAAUCCAAAAGCUGCUGAUUCUUUGGCUGAUCCUGAAGAGUACCCUAAUUUAUUUGAUCACUGGCAGAUUGCUUUGGCUGUUGAGUCAAAUCUUGCUCCUAGCAGGGGUAAGUAUCCUUCUGCUGAGGAAUACUUGAGCUAUGUGGAAAGGUCGAAUGUCAAUCUUGUGGAAGCUUUUAGAAGCAUGCAAGUUGAUGAAGAGAGCACGCCUCUUGAAAACGGUGAUUAUGGUCAUGAGGUGACAAAGGAAGAUGGGGUAGAGAGUCCAGAGGAACCUGUUGAAGUUGAUGUAGAUGAUUCUACUGACAGUGCGGUCCUUGUCAAUGGGAAUGAGGGAGAGGAACAGUGGGGUAUGAAUAACAAAGGAACUUCCUCAGCCUAAACGCACUUGGUUCAGCCUCUGUAAAAUCAAAAUUUUGUGUCCGUGCUAACUCCGCAAGAAUAGCGUCUUCUUGGGACAGGCUCUAGAAGGAAAUCUUGUGGCGCAAUGUCAUCCUUCCCACCGAGAUUUCUUACCCGCUAUCCUUCAGCUUCCAAAAUUGAAAAUCAUAAUAGACGGAUUCAUGAGAUGGCAUAAUUUUAAGUUGUUUGUACACUGGACCAACCUUAGAGAUAUAGUUGAGGUUUUAGAUGAUUGGUUUUCCCAGAAAUGCUUGUUUGGGAAUAGCAGACAAUUUCUUCCAGCUAUUGUAUUCAAUCAUAUCAUUUAUAAAGCUUUGUAAUCCGCUUCUUGUAAGAGAAAUUCUUUAAGUUUGUUAAUGUCUUCGUC